UUUGCAGGCUUGCAAGAUCCAGGAUCCC
rnacentral:piRNA from 1 species